UCUGACAUUUUAGUGAUCACUUUUCAAAUGUCUUCCGAAGUAGCCCUCAGAAAAAAUAGAAUGUACACAUUCAGACAAUGUCGAGGAAGGAAGUAUUUGUCACUGGAACGUGCUCUGAAAGCAUGGGUUUGGGAUCAGCUGGGCAUGCGCUGUGGAGUGGCACAACCUGCCUUCCCCUACUCUGCACAGAUGUCGGUGAACGGAGCCUCUGACACCCAGGGAAAUGAUAUAAAUGUUCAGGAGCCGUCCUUGACUGACCCGAUGUGUUGUAUAAAGGAAGUCUGUUCUCACAUCAGAGCACACGCCGCAUCUUUCUAAUAACAGGAAAAGUAGAAGGAAAAUCAAGGCUACACUCAAGUUGUUUGCCAAGAGGAGGUAAACUGUGUUGCUGUUACUUUUUUCGGGGGAACAGAUUAUGUAUGUGACAUGCAGCAAUGCUGGACAGAGGCCGCAGGGUGGCAACCUAGACAGUUCUGAAUCAACUGUCUAGUUUUGAGACAGACCUCAUUCUGUCCUCGGCUGCCUGACUGUAGCCUGGACUGGCUUUCACCUUACUGGCCAUGGGAUCCUGG
rnacentral:lncRNA from 1 species